UGAAAGAGAAAGAGGGAGAACUGAGAGGGAGGACCGCGCUGCGAGCCAAUGAGCUCACCGGCUGCUCCGCCUGAGCCAGCAUUUCCUUCCAAAACCAGGCACAGCUUAGGAAAAUCACUAGUUUUUACCAUUACAUCUGAAUCUCUUUGUAACUUCUUUAGACUAUGGCCCGGUCACCAUGGAAACACAACAAGCUGCAUCUGCCUGCUCUUCUAAUAAGAAGCACUUGACGCUUUAACCCUGAGGUUGUCAAACAUUCUCUACAAGAUACUGCACCGUGUUUAGGAAAGGACCCCGUGAACUGCGGACGCUGCCUCCGAAAAUGAUUUAGCCAGUACCGAGUACCGUUACUCCCCGUCAGAGGUCAGGCCAUCUGCUGCAGGAAACAGUGCAGAUGGUUCAGGGACUUGCAUCCAGGACUACAAGAUGAAAUGGAACUCCAGCAAGAAGCAAAUGGGAAGACCAGAAACGAAGGCCAAAAUGUAUUUUUUGACCAUUUUCUGGAAAACAGAGAUUAAGAGGAAUUAAAGUGGUUCUCCAGGAUUGUUCAAGGUCACCAUGCUAUUAAAACAAGACUUGAAUUCAGGCAUUGGAUUCCAAAGACACUCAUUGGCCUAUACAUCCUACAGAAAUAGACACAGUAAGUUGGCCACUGAGAAAACUAACAGAAUGGGGUGACUCUCAAUAGGAAAGAAGAUGGAAAGCACUUUAGAAGAUACAACUGUCUUUUGAAACACAACAAAGAAGAAAAUAGACAAAUGGGGAAAAUUAAAUUACAAAGAUAAAUGGAGAACAAAACAACAAUAAAAGAA